rnacentral:rRNA from 1 species
UGUCCUACGGGAGGCUGCAGUGGGGAAUCUUGCGCAAUGGGCGAAAGCCUGACGCAGCGACGCCGCGUGCGGGAAGAAGGCCUUAGGGUUGUAAACCGCUUUCAGGAGGGACGAAGCUACUCGGGUUAAUAGCCCAGAGGGUGACGGUACCUCCAGAAGAAGCCCCGGCUAACUACGUGCCAGCAGCCGCGGUAAUACGUAGGGGGCUAGCGUUGUCCGGAUUCAUUGGGCGUAAAGCGCGUGUAGGCGGCCAGGUAGGUCCGAUGUGAAAACUGGAGGCUCAACCUCCAGCUGUCAUUGGAAACCAUCUGGCUAGAGUCCGGAAGAGGAGAGUGGAAUUCCUGGUGUAGCGGUGAAAUGCGCAGAUAUCAGGAAGAACACCUAUGGCGAAGGCAGCUCUCUGGGACGGUACUGACGCUGAGACGCGAAAGCGUGGGGAGCGAACAGGAUUAGAUACCCCGGUAGUCGU